AUGUCAUACAGAUCACAAUAUUACAUGCAAUUAUCAAAAUUUACAAAGUGUAAUUUAACCUUUAAUCCAUCUAUAAGCCGCCCAGGCAUGCUUCGGACGUAUGUUCUCCUAUGUCCUCUAAUAUCGGCUUCAUCCUUGAAUCCACCAAGGGAUAUGCGGAUAAACUUUCUGCCCAAAGCAGCCACAAUAGAAGAUGCCACAGUGCCCCGGUGUUUUUAUGAAAUCUACACUUUGAAACUUCAAUGCUUUUUAGAAAUUAAUAGAGAAAUACCACUAGCCUAA